rnacentral:rRNA from 1 species
UACGGAGGGGGCUAGCGUUGUUCGGAAUCACUGGGCGUAAAGCGCACGUAGGCGGCUUUCUAAGUCAGGGGUGAAAUCCUGGAGCUCAACUCCAGAACUGCCUUUGAUACUGGAAAGCUUGAGUUCGGGAGAGGUGAGUGGAACUGCGAGUGUAGAGGUGAAAUUCGUAGAUAUUCGCAAGAACACCAGUGGCGAAGGCGGCUCACUGGCCCGAUACUGACGCUGAGGUGCGAAAGCGUGGGGAGCAAACAGG